GCGAGAGUGGCGGAACUGGCAGACGCGCUGGACUUAGGAUCCAGUGGGCAACCCAUGGGGGUUCAACUCCCCCCUCUCGCA
rnacentral:tRNA from 1 species